UCCUUCGUGGUGUAAUCGUUAGCACACUCGGCGCGUAACCGAGAGGUCCGUGGUUCGAUUCCCGGCGAAGGCG
rnacentral:tRNA from 1 species